rnacentral:rRNA from 1 species
CCAGACUCCUACGGGAGGCAGCAGUGGGGAAUAUUGCACAAUGGGGGAAACCCUGAUGCAGCGAUGCCGCGUGGAGGAAGAAGGUUUUCGGAUUGUAAACUCCUUUUAUCAGGGACGAUAAUGACGGUACCUGAAGAAAAAGCGUCGGCUAACUCCGUGCCAGCAGCCGCGGUAAUACGGAGGAUGCGAGCGUUGUCCGGAUUUAUUGGGUUUAAAGGGUGCGUAGGCGGGCAUUUAAGCCGGCGGUCAAAUGUCGGGGCUCAACCCCGGCCUGCCGUCGGAACUGGGUGCCUUGAGUGGGCGAGAAGUAUGCGGAAUGCGUGGUGUAGCGAUGAAAUGCAUAGAUAUCACGCAGAACCCCGAUUGCGAAGGCAGCAUACCGGCGCCCUACUGACGCUGAGGCACGAAAGUGCGGGUAUCGAACAGGAUUAGAUACCCCGGUACA